rnacentral:rRNA from 1 species
CUACGGGGCGCUGCAGUGAGGAAUAUUGCACAAUGGAGGAAACUCUGAUGCAGCAACGCCGCGUGGAGGAUGACGCAUUUCGGUGUGUAAACUCCUUUUAUAUGUCAAGAAAAUGACGGUAGCAUAUGAAUAAGCUCCGGCUAACUCCGUGCCAGCAGCCGCGGUAAUACGGAGGGAGCAAGCGUUACUCGGAAUCACUGGGCGUAAAGGACGCGUAGGCGGGAUAGAAAGUCAGGUGUGAAAUCCUAUGGCCCAACCAUAGAACUGCACUUGAAACUUCUAACCUAGAGUAUGGGAGGGGAAGAUGGAAUUAGUGGUGUAGGGGUAAAAUCCGUAGAUAUCACUAGGAAUACCAAAAGCGAAGGCGAUCUUCUGGAACAAUACUGACGCUAAGGCGUGAAAGCGUGGGGAGCAAACAGGAUUAGAUACCCUUGUAGUC